CUAAUAGUGAUAACGACGAGCGACAGAUUAAACAGUCUUUCGAUUUCAUAAACCAGGUACGCACAUUUUCAAUCCAAAUCUUCAUCCUUUUCCAUUUUCAACCACUUCUAGAGCACACCUCUCUCAUAAACCCUAACCCUAACUUCCUGCAUUUCCAAGGCUUUCGCUUUCUAAUUCUCACUUCCUUUCCUUUACUCUUAAUGUUAUAUUUGUGUAUCAACUGAAUUCUGGCUCUCGAUUUUGGUGUAGAACUUGAUUUGAUAGCCAAGCAAUGUGUUGAUUGGAAGACUAGAAAGUUUUGGCAAUGGCAGAGUAUAUACGUUCCACAUCAUGUGUUAGGUUGCAUAUGUGGACAACCUGUGUUCGAGAGAAGAGCUAUUUAAUCCGAAAUUCACAUAUUAGGACGCCACAGGGAAAAUAUUCCCCUGGAACUUGUAAAGUUGUCCAGCUCCCUCUUUGGAAAAUGCGCAGUAUUAGACUCUCAAAUUUGAAAGCAAGUCCUUGUAAAAGGAAAAUUUCCUUGAGGUGUAGUUGCUUGGGAGCUCUGGUGGACCCUGACGGCGCUACAGCAUCUGAUUUGGUUUCUAUUAGCAACCAGUUGCUUCUGAUGGCCAGCAUUGCUCUUACUUAUAUGGCUGGUGUAAUUCCCAUUGAUGGGCCCAAUUUGCCUUCUUGGAGGAACAUCGCAGAUGACAAUGUGGUCCUUGAAAGCGCAGCAUCUUCUGUGCUAAGAAGAAUGAAAACCAUGUUAAUGUAAAAUAUGCAUGGGAUGCAGUAAAGACAAAACUCUUGGAUUCUCUUCAUGCUAUAGAACACAAAAGCAAUCUGGGAAACAGACUCCUUGAAAUUGACCAGCAGAGUGCUAAGCAACCCUUAAGUUUGUAUGCUGUAUCUGAGGGUCCCAAGUUGCGACUACUUUGGGCUUCUUUUAAACAACUCGAGGAUGAGGCAGGCACCGUCACUAUUUUCUUUCUCUCUUUAUCUUUUGGGGAUAAAUCACUUGACUCCUAACAGUAGUUUGGUGAAUACUGUUUUUGGUGAUUGUGACGAUUUUAAUUUGGAUGAUUGGCUGGCUGUUUUUCCUGAAAUUAUUGAAAAAUCUUGUAACUGCAUUUGCAUGGCUUGGCUAGUAGAGGAACUUCAUCUUCAAAACAAGAAACUGGAUGAGGAACUUCUCUCUUUGAUGAUUCAGAAGUUAAAGGGAAAUGAAACUGUUUUGCGGACUAUAAGAAAGUCAGGCAAGGAACAUCUUUAUGGAGAAUUAUUGUACUUUCUUAGAUUUGGUUCUCUCAGGUAAAUUCAGUAAUUAUCUUCUUGUUUUUAUUGUUUCUAAACUACUUUUCUUAUAUUGGUUGUAUUUAGAAUAUAAUCAAAGGUUUUUUCAAAUUGAGUUUCCAGAUUGCAAUUAAUUUUGUUAAUGAUAACAGGUUGAACAACCUUUGGUAUUGCAUGGCGACAUGUUUGUUCCUUAUCUUAUUACCAUUUUAUUUACUUGUGUUAUAUAUAUAUAUAUAUAUUGCUGUUUUACUUCUCAUUGAUUUUUCCUAUGCAAUGAAUUUUGUAUAUACAAGUAUAUAGUAAACUGACUAAUUGUGGUGAGAUAAAGUAAAUAAAAAGGACGAACACGAAUACACAAUUACAGUUUUACUGUGGCAUAUUUCUAAUUAUGUGUAACCAGCGGCUUAGUAUAUGCCUUAAAGUGCGAUCCUAUUUAUAGGGUUUGACUUCUACUGUUUGUCUAUAUCUAAAAACAAGGAUACUAGCAUGGAAGUAUCUAGAGGGAUUACAAAUGGUUUCAAUGGGGUUUGGAAGCAAUCACAUAUUGUAAAAGAGGCACUGUGGUGAAACACAUUAAAAUCUACCAACCAACGUAGUUGGUGAGUUUUGCAAACCAGUUAUUUAAAAGUGAGGCUAACUUUCAAACUUUCUCUGCACUCUGCUCGUCUUUGUAAUGGAAAGAUGUUGUCUGACAGAUACAGUAAUGGAGGUAGUUGCUAAAGCUAGCAAUGUACUGAUGUUGUUACAAUGGUGGUUGCUUAAUAAACAUUGAUCAUAUGGACAUGGUAAUUGUAUGUCAAUUUUAUCUAGACAGGACUUAUUAUCAGAGUUCAGAUACUCGAUUUCUAUUCUCCAGCCAAGUAUGCUCUGGAAAUGUUAGUGAGACUUGUUAAAGCUGGGCUAUACUACUGUUGAUGUGGUAUGGCAUGUCAGCAAAGUAAAAGAAGCAUUCCCUCUCUGAUAAAAGAAAAAAAAAAAGCCAAAACCUCUCUCUUUUAUUUUAAUUUCCAUCAUCUUCUUGUCAGUCAACCGAAGACUUUGAAAGCCAAUUUCAAUUGUUUCCUUGAGUUCCAUCAGUCCUGAGAAGUCCAUCCAUCUCUGCAAUAUUCUUGUUUUUUUUUGGCUGCCCCAUCCUAAACUCUCUAUUUCUCUGUCAUCAGUCCCUUAGGAAGGUUUCUCUCUUAGCAGUUGCAAGUUGCAACUCUACUUCUAAAAGCAAGGUAAGUUUUAUUUAUUUUAUUUUCUGCUUCUCAAAGAAAGUACGAAAGUUGGUCAUAGAUGACUGUAGCUCCUUUUUUGUUAUUGUGUUUAUUAUUAUUUCUUUCUGAAUUCUUAGUUUGUUUUAAAUUAUAUGGUUGGUUGCUAGAAAAGUUUAAGAAAAUUCAAAGAAAAUGAUCUUUUGAGGUUGCAUUAAGUAAUUUGUAUAUGGAGAAUGAAAACUUUUAAUAAUUACAUUUGAGGUAGGUUAGCAUGGAUGUGUUUGUUUAUGCUUCCAACUUUCCAAGCCAAAGCCAUGCUAAUGAUAAGAUUUGGUGGUAAAAUGAGGAUCAGUGUUUUGAUCAGAAAGAGAAUUUCACAUCCACACUGGCAUGGCAAUGCAUGUCUAUGUAUUUUUGUCCAAUCAAGUAGUUGUUUGCUUGGGGGGGCAUGUCCAUAUGCAUGUGCUGCCAUGUACAAAAUGGACUUAGUUGGCUUAAUAACAAAGUUCAGAGGUUUAGCAGGUUCAAAAUAUUGAUAAGAGCUCAGUAGGCUUUUUUGGAUGUCUAAUGGCGUAUCAAUGUCUUAUUCGUAAUUUUACUUUAUAUUACAUUCUGAAUCAACCUAUUCUUGUUGUUAGUGGUGGUCACAGUUCAGGAACCGUUGGCUCAGGUUCAAUGAAAUCAUGAACC
rnacentral:misc_RNA from 1 species